rnacentral:lncRNA from 1 species
GAGUAUAAGCUAGUCGUUCUGGGCUCAGGAGGCAUUCGAAAGUCUGCUCUGCCUUUACAAUUUGUCCAAGGAAAUUAUGUUGAAAAUUAUGAUCCUAUGAUAGAAGAUUCGUACAGAAAGCAACUUGAAAUAGAUGCACAACAGUGUGUGCUUGAAAUCUUGGAUACCACAAAAACAGAAAAAUCUUCAGCAAUGAGGGAUUUGUACAUGCAAAAUAAACAAGGCUUUGCAUUAGUUUAUUUCAUCAUAGCACAGUGCACAUUUAAUGAUUUUCAACAUCUAAGAGAAAAGAUUCUUCAAGUUAAAAACAUUGAUGAUGUUCCAAUGAUUCUGGUCGGUAAUAAUUGUGACUUGGAAGAUGAAAGAGUUGUAGAAAAGGAACAAGGUCAAAAUCUAACAAGACAGUGGGCCAACACUGCAUUCUUAUAAUCUUCUUCAAAAUUACAAGUAAAUGUUAAUUAGCUAUUUUAUUACCCAGUGCAACAAAUUAACAGAAAAACUCUAGUGCCUGGAAGGCUUGGAAAAAGUCAUGUCAGCUGGUUUA